GCGGUGGAGCAUGUGGUUUAAUUCGAAGCAACGCGAAGAACCUUACCAGGCCUUGACAUGCAGAGAACUUUCCAGAGAUGGAUUGGUGCCUUCGGGAACUCUGACACAGGUGCUGCAUGGCUGUCGUCAGCUCGUGUCGUGAGACGUUGGGUUAAGUCCCGUAACGAGCGCAACCCUUGUCCUUAGUUACCAGCACGUUAUGGUGGGCACUCUAAGGAGACUGCCGGUGACAAACCGGAGGAAGGUGGGGAUGACGUCAAGUCAUCAUGGCCCUUACGGCCUGGGCUACACACGUGCUACAAUGGUCGGUACAAAGGGUUGCCAAGCCGCGAGGUGGAGCUAAUCCCAUAAAACCGAUCGUAGUCCGGAUCGCAGUCUGCAACUCGACUGCGUGAAGUCGGAAUCGCUAGUAAUCGUGAAUCAGAAUGUCACGGUGAAUACGUUCCCGGGCCUU
rnacentral:rRNA from 1 species